rnacentral:lncRNA from 1 species
GAAGGGGAUUUCCAAUGUAAAUAUAAACAAAUGCACGCGUAAUGCAUCAUUUUAGAGUUUUAGUGACAAUUAAACGUUAUUAUGGCAAAAAACAUAGCUCAAACAUGUGGUUAGAAAGGCAAUCUAGGGAUCCAUACGUUAAAAGGGCACGUGAAGACGACUGGCGAUGCCGAAGUGCAUAUAAGUUAUUAGAAAUUGAUGCAAAACACAAAUUACUGAAACCAGGACAGCUUGUUAUUGAUUGUGGGUGUGCUCCGGGGUCUUGGACUCAAGUUAUUGUUCAGAAGAUAAAUUCAAAUAGCUGUGGUA